rnacentral:rRNA from 1 species
GCAGUAGCCACGGGAAUACGAAGGGUGCAAGCGUUACUCGGAAUUACUGGGCGUAAAGCGUGUGUAGGUGGUUGUUUAAGUCUGUCGUGAAAUCCCCGGGCUCAACCUGGGAAUGGCAGUGGAUACUGGCUCGCUAGAGUGUGUCAGAGGAUGGUGGAAUUCCCGGUGUAGCGGUGAAAUGCGUAGAGAUCGGGAGGAACAUCAGUGGCGAAGGCGGCCAUCUGGGACAACACUGACGCUGAGGCACGAAAGCGUGGGGAGCAAACAGGAUUAGAUACCCGCGUAGUCCCUGUCUCUUAUAC